rnacentral:rRNA from 1 species
UACGUAGGGUGCGAGCGUUGUCCGGAAUUAUUGGGCGUAAAGAGCUUGUAGGCGGUCUGUCGCGUCUGCUGUGAAAAUCCGGGGCUCAACCCCGGACUUGCAGUGGGUACGGGCAGACUAGAGUGUGGUAGGGGAGAAUGGAAUUCCCGGUGUAGCGGUGAAAUGCGCAGAUAUCGGGAGGAACACCGGUGGCGAAGGCGGUUCUCUGGGCCUUACCUGACGCUGGAGGAGCGAAAGCGUUGGGGAGCGAACAGG